CCUUGCGGAUCUCCUGAGAGGGUCCAGCAGAUUUGCAAACAUUCCCAGGACCGGCUUGGAGGAUUUAUGAUCUCUUCUAGAACUAAGGAGCUGGAAUGGAGCUGUCAUUCCAACCAGGACAUCAUUCCAACCAGUCUAGCAGUUAUAAUCAGGCUCAGCUCUCAAGGAAGGCCUGGGGACAGGAUCAGAUGCCCUUGACAAGUGUCAGGCUGUCACUGAUGGCAGCAGCAUCUGCUUCCUACCCCCUGAAAACUCAGGAAUGGACACUUGGGGAAAAUAAAGGACAACCAUGCAGGUCACCGAAACACACCAGGACCCCAGGCUCAUUGCCCCAGACUUGGCUCCGGAGGCCAGUUCCACAGGGGUGGGGCGUGCCUCUCCCCACCCAACCAUCUGGGUCACAGCUUUGUUAAGUGUUUGUUUCUGAACAGGCUGACUUAAGCAGUGACUAAGCUUGGGAGUCAUAAAAGCUGGUAAUAAACCUGUCAGUGAGGCUGUGGGCCAGGCCAGGA
rnacentral:lncRNA from 12 species